rnacentral:rRNA from 1 species
AUGACGCGGCAGCGCAGCGGGCUGCCGUCCUUCAACUUCAAGGAGCACACCGAGGAGUACACCUUCGCGCAGCUGGCGACGGCGACGAACGGCUUCGCGGCGGAGGCCAAGAUCGGCGCGGGGAGCUUCGGGACGGUGUACCGCGGCAAGCUCCCCGACGGGCGCGAGGUCGCCAUCAAGCGCGGCGAGGCGUCAGGGCCAAUGGCGCGCAAGUUCCAGGAGAAGGAGAGAGCGUUCCGGUCGGAGCUGGCCUUCCUCUCCCGGCUCCACCACAAGCACCUCCUCGGCCUGGUGGGCUACUGCGAGGAGAACGACGAGCGUCUGCUGGUGUAUGAGUACAUGAAGAACAGUGCGCUCUACGACCACCUCCACCCCAAGGGCGCCGGCGCCGACGCCGACGCGGCGUUGCCGGUGGUGUCGUCGUGGAAGUUGCGCAUCAAGAUCCUGCUGGACCCGUCGCGGGGCAUCAAGUACCCGCACUCGUACGCCGUGCCGCCCAUCAUCCACCGCGACAUCAAGUAG